AAAUUGCCUAAGCUUCAUUUGGGUCUAUUCAAAUGAACUGAAUAGAUGGUUUGCGACAGGUACCUAUAACACACACUAAAAGCAUCUCCAAGUGUCAUUCAGAACUUAUUUAAUGCAUGCAUAAUAAAAUAAAUAAGAUACAGUGCUGGCCAGAACAUAAUCUUUUAACAACGGCCACAUCCAAUGAAACAAUAUGUUUAGCUGGCAGCAAACGUUGUAAGUCAAUGAAACCGAGACCUAUCAGCACCAUGACGUAAUUAAUGUUCACGACAUAAUUCCAGCAGCCGCAGUCGCGCAUACACGCGCAAGAUUUCACGCGCAAGAUUUCACGCGCAAAAACCGUUACAACCGUUGCAGCGCAAGCACAGGGACUGAGAGGAACAGCGCACCUAUCUGAGGGACUGAAACAAAUAUGAGCACAGAAGUUAUUCAAUGGACUACUCAAGAUGUGACUGGUUGACUGGAAAAAGUUUCCACAAAUUUAUCCUAAUUUCCUAAUUAUUUCAAGAGAAUGAAAUUGAUGGGGAUACGUUAAUUAACCUAACUGAGAAUAUGAGCUAAAUGUUUUCCUAAAAUAAAGGAUCAAGUUAAAUUCAUUAGACUACACAGAAACAAAUAAAGACUGAAAUGCCUACCAAGACUACACACAUCAGUCAUGAGUGUCCAACAAGUUACCAAUUAAACAAGGUGUGAUUAUCCCUUGUCACCAAAUACCAGUUCUUGAGAGACUGUUAAGAGAAUGGAACCACAAGAUUUCAUCAAAAGUCCAACAGAUAACCAGUGCAGAGGUAAAGCAUGUCAGACAAAGUGACACCUUAAUGGACAAUUAUAAUUUUAAAAUGCUUUGUGUUUUUUAUUUUAUAAAACUGAGGAAAACCAAGACAUGUGCAGCAUAGAAAGAGUCUGAACAGGGGAAGAUGAUUACAGCAUUGGGGUGCACUUUGAAAAAGUGAAAACAAGAAUGCUUGAAAAAACACCAAAUAUUAAACUUUUUAGAGGACUGCAUGGCAUAGACAAUGACUGCGAGGACUAAAUCCCUAUCCAGCCCUUAAAGUCCCUUCAGUUCUUGCAUUUGAGGUCCAAAGCAUACUUGACACAGACAUUGAAAGAAACAUGCUGAAGAAUCUAGGCCUGGUGGCACAGAAAGUGAUUAAUGAGUGCCACAGAAGACAUUUUGGAGUGCAUAUCUGUACCGAACUGGAUGAAGCAAAACAAGCCUACAUUGAUUUGGCACACAGAGGUCUCUCAAUGGCUGCUGCUGCUACCAUGUUGCUUCCAUUUCUUUUCAAGGAGAGCCCAAGAUUCCUUUAUGUCAUUAAUCAGGUACCAAAUACACCCAACCCAGUUCUAUAAAAGGAAGCCCUUUGGGUGCAGAUUCAAUCCUGGAGAUAAUGAUGGAAGGUGUGAAAGUCUUUGAGGUAGAAGAUGUCACUAUAGUGCUUGUGCAGUCUACUUCAUCUUCAGCAUUGAAAAAUUUAUUUUUAAAUUAAUGAAUGUUUAUGUAAAUGCAUAAAGUGGAAAGUACAUACAUGAUGUGGAUGAAUCAACAUAAGAUAUAUUUUAAAUAUA